rnacentral:rRNA from 1 species
AUACGGAGGGUGCAAGCGUUGUUCGGAAUUACUGGGCGUAAAGCGCGCGUAGGCGGUCUGUUAUGUCAGAUGUGAAAGUCCUCGGCUCAACCGGGGAAGUGCAUUUGAAACUGGCAGACUUGAGUACUGGAGGGGGUGGUGGAAUUCCCGGUGUAGAGGUGAAAUUCGUAGAUAUCGGGAGGAAUACCGGUGGCGAAGGCGACCACCUGGCCAGAUUCUGACGCUGAGGUGCGAAAGCGUGGGGAGCAAACAGGAUUAGAUACCCGGGUAGUCC